rnacentral:rRNA from 1 species
AGAGUUUGAUCCUGGCUCAGGAUGAACGCUGGCGGCGUGCCUAACACAUGCAAGUCGAACGGGGGAGCAUGAGGAAAAAAGCGCUUGCGUUUUCGGAAUCAUGUUUUCCAGUGGCGGACGGGUGAGUAACGCGUGGGCAACCUGCCCUGUACAGGGGGAUACCAUCUGGAAACAGAUGCUAAUACCGCAUAAUCGCAUCAGCCCGCAUGGGCAGAUGCGGAAAGGGAGCAAUCCCGGUACAGGAUGGACCCGCGUCUGAUUAGCCAGUUGGCAGGGUAACGGCCUACCAAAGCGACGAUCAGUAGCCGGCCUGAGAGGGUGAACGGCCACAUUGGGACUGAGACACGGCCCAGACUCCUACGGGAGGCAGCAGUGGGGAAUAUUGCACAAUGGGGGAAACCCUGAUGCAGCGACGCCGCGUGAGUGAAGAAGUAUUUCGGUAUGUAAAGCUCUGCCAGCAGGGAAGAAGAAAGACGGUACCUGACCAAGAAGCCCCGGCUAACUACGUGCCAGCAGCCGCGGUAAUACGUAGGGGGCAAGCGUUAUCCGGAAUCACUGGGUGUAAAGGGAGCGUAGACGGCUGUGCAAGCCUGGAGUGAAAGGCGGGGGCCCAACCCCCGGACUGCUCUGGGAACUGCAAAGCUGGAGUGCAGGAGAGGUAAGUGGAAUUCCUGGUGUAGCGGUGAAAUGCGUAGAUAUCAGGAGGAACACCAGUGGCGAAGGCGGCUUACUGGACUGUAACUGACGUUGAGGCUCGAAAGCGUGGGGGAAGCAAACAAAAGGAGAUACCCUGGUAGUCCACGCCGUAAACGAUGAUCACCAGGUGUCGGGGGGCAGGAGCCCCUUCGGGUGCCGAAGCAAACGCAUUAAGUGAUCCACCUGGGGAGUACGUCCGCAAGGAUAAAACUAAAAGGAAUUGACGGGGACCCGCACAAGCGGUGGAGCAUGUGGUUUAAUUCGAAGCAACGCGAAGAACCUUACCCGGCCUUGACAUCCCCCUGGCAGCAUAUGUAAAGUAUGUUCCCUUCGGGGCAGGGGAGACAGGUGGUGCAUGGUUGUCGUCAGCUCGUGUCGUGAGAUGUUGGGUUAAGUCCCGCAACGAGCGCAACCCUUACCCACAGUAGCCAGCAUGGAAGAUGGGAACUCUGUGGGGACUGCCGGGGACAACCCGGAGGAAGGCGGGGAUGACGUCAAAUCAUCAUGCCCCUUAUGGCCGGGGCUACACACGUGCUACAAUGGCGUAAACAAAGGGAAGCGAGAGAGUGAUCUUAAGCAAAACUCAAAAAUAACGUCCCAGUUCGGAAUGUAGUCUGCAACCCGACUACAUGAAGCUGGAAUCGCUAGCAAUCGCGGAUCAGAAUGCCGCGG